CCUACGGGGGGCUGCAGUGGGGAAUUUUGCGCAAUGGGGGGAACCUUGACGCAGCGACGCCGCGUGGGUGAUGAAGGCCUUCGGGUUGUAAAGCCCUGUUGGGGGGGAAGAUAAUGACGGUACCCCCUGAGGAAGCCCCGGCUAACUACGUGCCAGCAGCCGCGGUAAGACGUAGGGGGCGAGCGUUGUCCGGAAUUACUGGGCGUAAAGGGCGUGUAGGCGGCUUUUCAAGUCGGCUGUGAAAUUCCCCGGCUUAACCGGGGGGGUGCAGUCGAAACUGAUGGGCUUGAGUGCAGGAGAGGGUGGUGGAAUUCCCGGUGUAGCGGUGACAUGCGUAGAUAUCGGGAGGAACACCGGUGGCGAAGGCGACCUCCUGGCCUGUUACUGACGCUGAGGCGCGAAAGCUGGGGGAGCAAACAGGAUUAGAUACCCUAGUAGUC
rnacentral:rRNA from 1 species